AUUAGCUAGUUGGGGCGGUAACGGCGCACCAAGGCGACGAUGGCUAGGGGGUCUGAGAGGAUGGUCCCCCACACUGGUACUGAGACACGGACCAGACUCCUACGGGAGGCAGCAGUGAGGAAUAUUGGUCAAUGGGCGGAAGCCUGAACCAGCCAUGCCGCGUGCAGGAUGACGGCCCUACGGGUUGUAAACUGCUUUUCCCCGGGAAGAAUAAGCCCCUCGUGAGGGGUGAUGCCGGUACCGGGGGAAUAAGGAUCGGCUAACUCCGUGCCAGCAGCCGCGGUAAUACGGAGGAUCCGAGCGUUAUCCGGAUUUACUGGGUUUAAAGGGUGCGUAGGCGGGCGCCUAAGUCAGCGGUGAAAUGCAGCGGCUCAACCGUUGAACUGCCGUUGAAACUGGGCGCCUUGGAUGCGGUCGAGGCCGGCGGAAUGCGUGGUGUAGCGGUGAAAUGCUUAGAUAUCACGCAGAACGCCAAUUGCGAAGGCAGCUGGCCGGGCCGCAAUCGACGCUGAGGCACGAAAGCGUGGGGAUCAAACAGGAUUAGAUACCCUGGUAGUCCACGCCGUAAAC
rnacentral:rRNA from 1 species